rnacentral:rRNA from 1 species
AUGAUUCAUGAAUCAUGUGCAAGGCCUUCUUCGUUUGGAACUCAGGAAUUUCAUGAUAACUACGCGCUAAUAACUUGGCAGGAAUUGCAGCGGGGCCUUCGGAAACUCCGGAGAGCCACGGCAUCUUGGAAUAUGCAUGGUGGCACGGACCGUUCCAAGCCACCAACUGGACACGAAGAAGGCCAUUCCAUUUUUGUUCAGCAAGAACCCACAAGGAGAAAUGCACAGCCAAGACGUAAGCCAAGACUUUGGUUACUGCUAGAAGAAAUGCACAGCCAAGGCUCGGUGGGUCUUCCCAGAGGAACUUCUAGGAAACUGCGAGCUUGA